UCAGAAAUAAAUAAAAACAAAAAAUAAACAGCCGACUAUGUUAUACCUAAAGAAAUGACCGAACUAAGCCCGACGUCAUAGAGAGCUUGUUCAGUCAUCAGCUCUCGCUGUGGUGGUACUGUCAUUCUUCCAAUCGGAUUAAGUCUUCUCGAUGAUCGACCUCCACCCGACUGUUCUUGUUGGGAUCAGUCCUUGGGUCACCCCAGCACGAGGAAAAGCCCCAAGGAGAAGAAGAAGAAAUGAAGAAAAAUUGAUUCUUUCAUCUAUGAAUGGACGAUGAAAGAUCGAUGAUAAAAAAAAUAUAUUUCCUCAAGUUGAAGAACCACCAACCUUUGACCUUCGAAUGAAGACGACGGAUGAAGAAAGAUCGAAAAAGAGAAAGAUGAGGAACAGUCAGUAUAAGAUGACACAAUAAAGCAAAGCUAAUGAUCAGCCAGAUAUAGUUCAGAGCCAGCUGAGCAGGCAAAGGCCGUAAAAAUCAAAAAAAUUUCGGACAAACUACAGAAUCGAAAAUCAAAGACCAGUCUGAAGGUCCUCAGCAUAGAAUACAACCUGAUCCGGAGGAGGAGAGUUCACCCGACCAAUAGAGCCAAGAGCAAAAAGCUGAUACUACUUCAGGAUACGAUACUGUUCCUGAAGCCGUUCGAUAUUGAGUUUAGAUAAGAAAGAAGCUUUCAUUUUUAGAUCUGAAGGAGAGUCAUCAGUCGGAUUCCCCGAUCGAUUAUCUCGAGAAGAAGAAGCCCUAGCCAUAAAGAUGGAAAACUAGUGAAGAAAAUCCUAAAAUGAAAACCCAAAGAGUAGAAGGACCC
rnacentral:lncRNA from 1 species